rnacentral:lncRNA from 1 species
ACCUGUGUCAAGAUAACCAACCAGGAGGGACUGCCACUCUACAGAAAGCCACUCAAGCUAACAAAUGAAGAAGCAAAAAGCGAAGCCACCAUUUUGAGACUCUCACUGGGCUAAAGGAUCUGAGUAGCAGUAAUUAAGGGUUGGAAUUCACGAGUUACCCAGGAUGGAAGGACAGCUUGACAACUAAGGAAUCCUGGGAAGCAAGAAUCCAAAUUUGAAGAAGUAGAAGCUUUUUGCUGAACAAUCAAGUCCAUUUCUUUACCUACCAAAGACGAUGGGAGGUCCAAGCAAUGGCUGAGGGGUUAAGAACAUUCGCUGCACAUUGUGAAGACCAGUUUGGACAUGGUACCUAUGUCAACAGCAGGGUGUGAGCCCACACAUGUCUUUAUUCUCAACACUGAGAACUGAGAGGAGAGAGGAUCUGUGGGGCUUCCU